UCGUCCGGCCCGUGGGAAUUCCGAAUUGAUGGUCGUCCAGCCCUCCAGCCCGUGUGAAUUCCCACGCGUGAAUUGCAUUGGGCUCGAUGCUUCAGAGGAACUUCCUUUCCUCUCUCUGUCCGUCAGUCUCCUUUCUCAAUCGUCAUCUCUUUCUUUUUCUUUCUUCAGAAAACCCUCAUCCUCUCUUCUCUUUGUUUUCAUCUGUUCUUUUUUCACUUUUAACUGAGAACAACUACAACAAGGAGGAUGGUUGGGAUUUUUUUUGGGUGCAAAAAAUUGGAAAUGUCUUUCAGCCUCCGGCAUCUCAAUGAGACAACUGUUAGUGGAAUCCUCUGGAAUGUAUGUGUUGGAAGAGCUUUCAGGUUAGAUUUUGAGAUCUAAAGAAGCCCUUACCGUCAAGAUUUUGCAUAAAUCCUAAGGUUAGA